rnacentral:lncRNA from 1 species
GAGGGGAGGAGAAAACAACUGGGGGCUUGUUUAGUUCCUAAUUUGGGAGUGAUAAAAUUGGCAUUUUACCAUAAAUGCGCAACUGUAGCAUUUCGUUUGUAUUUGUAAAUUAUUGUCCAAACAUUGACUAAUUAGGCUCAAAAGAUUCGUCUCGCAAAGUACAACAAAACUGUGCAAUUAGUUUUUGAUUUCGUCUACAUUUAGUAUUCCAUGCAUGUACCGCAAGUUUGAUGUGAUGGGGAAUCUUCUUUUUGCAUAGUGCCAAAGUUGGAAAUUUGGGGUAACUAAACAUGGCCUGGAUCAGUUACAAGUCUGAUCAACUACUGAGUCCGCUCCCAUGUGCCGAGACCGGGAAAAUCUCUCUUUUGGGGGGAAACUCUCGUAGCCUAAUGGAGGUAGACCGAGACCAGGACGCCGGAUAACGAACUCUGGAAGCGGCAAGCUCCCAAAGAGCAACAGCUUUCGUGCAGAGAUGGGUCUUGGAUAAACAAAACAUAAAGCUAGCUGAUGCAGGGAGGCGCGUGUUGCCGUGCCGCCCUCGCCCUCGCGUUGCCAUCGAUCUUUGCCCAACCACGAAUCAACUUUGGAGCUGCAGGGGUUGUUGGGGUUAGCUAGAGAUGGAUGCGUCCAGGCAUCUACUCUCAUGCAUAUCCAGCUGGGUUCAGUAAACUAGCAGGCACCUCCAUCUACUUGCCAUCAACAUCCU